rnacentral:rRNA from 1 species
AUAUCAAUAAGCGGAGGAAAAGAAACUAACAAGGAUUCCCCUAGUAGCGGCGAGUGAAGCGGGAAGAGCUCAAAUUUGUAAUCUGGCGUCUUUCAGGCGUCCGAGUUGUAAUCUAUAGAAGUGUUUUCCGUGCUGGACCAUGUCUAAGUCCCUUGGAACAGGGUAUCAAAGAGGGUGACAAUCCCGUACUUGACAUGACCACCAGUGCUCUGUGAUACACUCUCUACGAGUCGAGUUGUUUGGGAAUGCAGCUCAAAAUGGGUGGUAAAUUCCAUCUAAAGCUAAAUAUUGGCGAGAGACCGAUAGCGAACAAGUACCGUGAGGGAAAGAUGAAAAGCACUUUGGAAAGAGAGUUAAACAGUACGUGAAAUUGUUGAAAGGGAAACGAUUGAAGUCAGUCGUGUUCAUUGGACUCAGCCGGUUUUCGGUGUAUUUCCUUUGAACGGGUCAACAUCAGUUUUGUCCGGUGGAUAAAGGCAGGAAGAAAGUGGCUCCCUCGGGAGUGUUAUAGCUUUCUGUCACAUACACUGGAGGAGACUGAGGACUGCAGCUCGCCUUUUGGCCGGGGUUCGCCCACGUUCGAGCUUAGGAUGUUGACAUAAUGGCUUUAAACGAC